GCAGUCGCCGCGGUAAUACAGAGGGUGCGAGCGUUAAUCGGAUUUACUGGGCGUAAAGCGUGCGUAGGCGGCUUCUUAAGUCGGAUGUGAAAUCCCUGAGCUUAACUUAGGAAUUGCAUUCGAUACUGGGAAGCUAGAGUAUGGGAGAGGAUGUAGAAUUCCAGGUGUAGCGGUGAAAUGCGUAGAGAUCUGGAGGAAUACCGAUGGCGAAGGCAGCCAUCUGGCCUAAUACUGACGCUGAGGUACGAAAGCAUGGGGAGCAAACAGGAUUAGAUACCCCAGUAGUCCCUGUCUCUUAUACA
rnacentral:rRNA from 1 species